rnacentral:rRNA from 1 species
UGGGGAAUUUUGGACAAUGGGCGAAAGCCUGAUCCAGCCAUGCCGCGUGAGUGAAGAAGGCCUUCGGGUUGUAAAGCUCUUUUAGUCGGAAAGAAAGAGUUGCAAUGAAUAAUUGUGAUUUAUGACGGUACCGACAGAAAAAGCACCGGCUAACUACGUGCCAGCAGCCGCGGUAAUACGUAGGGUGCGAGCGUUAAUCGGAAUUCCUGGGCGUAAAGGGUGCGCAGGCGGUCUUGCAAGUCAGAUGUGAAAGCCCCGGGCUUAACCUGGGAAUUGCGUUUGAAACUACAAGGCUAGAGUGCAGCAGAGGGGAGUGGAAUUCCAUGUGUAGCAGUGAAAUGCGUAGAGAUGUGGAAGAACACCGAUGGCGAAGGCAGCUCCCUGGGUUGACACUGACGCUCAUGCACGAAAGCGUGGGGAGCAAACA